AGAUUGAACGCUAGCGGGAUGCUUUACACAUGCAAGUCGAACGGCAGCGCGGACUUCGGUCUGGCGGCGAGUGGCGAACGGGUGAGUAAUAUAUCGGAACGUGCCCAGUAGCGGGGGAUAACUACGCGAAAGCGUGGCUAAUACCGCAUACGCCCUACGGGGGAAAGGGGGGAGUCGCAAGACCUCUCACUAUUGGAGCGGCCGAUAUCAGAUUAGCUAGUUGGUGAGGUAAAGGCUCACCAAGGCGACGAUCUGUAGCUGGUUUGAGAGGACGACCAGCCACACUGGGACUGAGACACGGCCCAGACUCCUACGGGAGGCAGCAGUGGGGGAAUUUUGGUACAAUGGGCGAAAGCCUG
rnacentral:rRNA from 1 species